AGUCUGGUGCCAGCAGCCGCGGUAAUUCCAGCUCCAAUAGCGUAUACUAAAAUUGUUGCGGUUAAAUAUUUUGAAUAUUUCGUGCAUGGAAUAAUAGAAUAUGAUCUCGGUUCUAUUUUGUUGGUUUUCAGAACUCCGAGGUAAUGAUUAAUAGGGAUAACUGGGGGCAUUCGUAUUGCGACGUUAGAGGUGAAAUUUUUGGAUCGUCGCAAGACGAACAUCAGCGAAAGCAUUUGCCAAAGGUGUUUUCAUCAAUCAAGAACGAAAGUUCGGUUCAGUUCGGAACGGAGGUUCGAAGGCGAUUAGAUACCGCCCUAGUUCUAACCGUAAAUAUGUCAUCUAGCGAUCCGCCGACGUUACUACAAUGGCUCGGCGGGCAGCUUCCGGGAAACCAAAGAUUUUGGACUCCGGGGGGAGUAUGGUUGCAAAGCUGAAACUUAAAGGAAUUGACGGAAGGGCACCACCAGGAGUGGAGCCUGCGGCUUAAUUUGACUCAACACGGGAAAUCUCACCAGGCCCGGGCACCGGAAGGAUUGACAGAUUAACAGCUCUUUCUUGAUUCGGUGGGUGGUGGUGCAUGGCCGUUCUUAGUUGGUGGAGCGAUUUGUCUGGUUAAUUCCGGUAACGAACGAGACUCUAGCCUGCUAAAUAGGCGUCGUCAUUUAGGUGUGCGCGGCUUCAGGGUCGCGCAACUCACUGGCGGCGUAUUAAAAUUCUUCUUAGAGGGACCGGCGGCUUCGAGCCGCACGAGAUUGAGCAAUAACAGGUCUGUGAUGCCCUUAGAUGUCCUGGGCCGCACGCGCGCUACACUGAAGGAAUCAACAUGUUCUCCCUGGCCUAGAGGCCCGGGCAACCCGUUGAAACUCCUUCGUGCUGGGGAUUGGGGUUUGCAAUUAUCCCCCAUAAACGAGGAAUUCCUAGUAAGCGCGAGUCAUAAGCUCGCGUUGAUUACGUCCCUGCCCUUUGUACACACCGCCCGUCGCUACUACCGAUUGAAUGAUUUAGUGAGGUCUUCGGACCGACACGCGGUGGCUUCGCGGCCGUCGGCGUUGCUGGGAAGUUGACCAAACUUGAUCAUUUAGAGGAAGUAAAAGUCGUAACAAGGUUUCCGUAGGGGAACCUGCGGAAG
rnacentral:rRNA from 1 species